AGUGGCGGACGGGUGAGUAACGCGUGAGAAUCUGCCUUGGGGUCGGGGACAACCACUGGAAACGGUGGCUAAUACCGGAUAAGCCGAUUGGUGAAAGAUUUAUUGCCCGAAGAGGAGCUCGCGUCUGAUUAGCUAGUUGGUGAGGUAAGAGCUCACCAAGGCAGCGAUCAGUAGCUGGUCUGAGAGGACGAUCAGCCACACUGGGACUGAGACACGGCCCAGACUCCUACGGGAGGCAGCAGUGGGGAAUUUUCCGCAAUGGGCGAAAGCCUGACGGAGCAAGACCGCGUGAGGGAGGAAGGCUCUUGGGUUGUAAACCUCUUUUCUCAGGGAAGAAGCUCUGACGGUACCUGAGGAAUCAGCCUCGGCUAACUCCGUGCCAGCAGCCGCGGUAAUACGGAGGAGGCAAGCGUUAUCCGGAAUUAUUGGGCGUAAAGCAUCCGCAGGUGGCGAUUCAAGUCUGCUGUCAAAGCACGGGGCUUAACUCCGUAAAGGCAGUGGAAACUGAAUAGCUAGAGUGCCGUAGGGGUAGAGGGAAUUCCCGGUGUAGCGGUGAAAUGCGUAGAGAUCGGGAAGAACAUCGGUGGCGAAAGCGCUCUACUGGACGGCAACUGACACUCAGGGACGAAAGCUAGGGGAGCGAAUGGGAUUAGAUACCCC
rnacentral:rRNA from 1 species